rnacentral:tRNA from 1 species
UGAGGCAGUAGCUCAAUGGUAGAGGGUUUGCUUAGCACACACACAGCCCUGGGUUUGAACCCCAGUACCACAA